rnacentral:rRNA from 1 species
CUACCUUCGAUGGGGAAUAACAAUCGGAAACGGUUGCUAAUACCGCAUAAUGCAGCGGCACCUAAUGGUGACAGUUGUUAAAGCGGGGGAUCGAAAGACCUCGCGUCUGAAGAGGAGCCUGCGGCGGAUUAGCUUGUUGGUAAGGUAACGGCUUACCAAGGCGACGAUCCGUAGCCGGCCUGAGAGGGCGGUCGGCCACACUGACACUGACAUACGGGUCAG